rnacentral:rRNA from 1 species
UAUUAUACCUUAGAAAAAUUUAUUAAGCUUAAGUAGUAAAAGAUAUGUUCUUAAAAUUUAAAAAGUUUGGCGGUAAUUUAGUCUUGUCAGGGGAACCUGUUUUUUAAUCGAUAAACCACGAAAAAUCUUACUUAGUUUAUAAAGCUUGUAUACCGUCAUUAUCAGGUAAUUUUAAAAGAAUGAAAUUGCUAAUUAUGUUUGGCAUAAAAAUUAGAUCAAGGUGCAGCCAAUAUCUAAGUUAAAAUGGGUUACAAUAAAUAUUAUAUGUGUUUAUUUACACGAAGAUAAUUAAAAAUUUAAUUUUGGAAGGAGGAUUUGAUUGUAUUUGAAUUUUAAUAAGGUAAAAAGAUAUUAGCUCUAGAUUAU